UCUUAAAAGGAAGGACAUGGUCCUAUGUUCAUUGGAGCAUCUCCUUCAUACUAGACUUAUUGCUGAAACUCAUGAUGGCUCACUUUUGUCUUAAUGACUGUCAGUCAAAUCAACCUCAUAUGGAAAUGACAUAUCUACAACCAACAGAACUGUUCUCGGCUGCUACUUAAGUGAGUCACUUCCUCUCCCCAAAGGCACUCGGCCCGCCAUCUGAGAUCCUAACUUACAGCCUUCUGUUUCUUACAUGCAGGCUCAACUAAAGUCAGCGAGAAUGUUACUGGUGCAGGUUCUUAUUGUGACUUCAAUUUGUUCAUAUGGAGUUGCACAAAUACAAUUGACACAAGUUCAGUUAUCCAUCACAAGGAAAACAACGAAAACAGUAAGAAUUGAUUGUAAAGUUUCUGGCAUCAGUUUUGGUGAUGCUUAUAUACACUGGUAUCGACAGAGACCUGGAGAAGCUCCUGAGUGGAUACUCUACUUUAAGACACAAACAGAAAAAUCAAGUUUUGACAACAACAAGUUUAACGUUGACAAGACAACUGAAAAAUCCACCUGUACCCUAACAGUAGACAAACUAACCUACAAUGACAUGGCUAUCUAUUACUGUGCCUUCUGGGAUCACACAGUGUUAGAAAGCCAUAGACAGGCUGUGCAAAAACCUCUGAGUCACAGAUUCUAA